GUAAGCUCCUAUAUGUGUUUUUAUCUGCAAUUUUACUUGGCACUAAAAGUAGGUUCCAUAGUGAACGUUUAUCGGAUUGCAUAGAAAUGUCAAACGUUGCCUCAUUCAUACAAAUUGACUGGUUAAUGCAUUUAAUCAUAGGUCUUCUCACCACCUUGAAAUCUAGAAAAUUUGAUUCUCAGUGCCUGCAGCCAUGUUAUUUUUGUUGAAAGUUCUGUGUGAAAAAUUGCUAAAGCUUUUUCUUGGUUUAGAUGUUAUGAAGGUGAAUCUUAUUAAAUAGGAAUAUAUUUGCACUUGAUCAAGUUCCAUGGAUUGUUCUAAAAAUUAAAUUUGGUUACUAACCUUCAUCUUGUAGUUGUAAGAGCAGAUUAUCAAUUCAGAUUGCAGUAUUGGCUUACUUUUAUUGGACAUAGGUUGAGUUAGCAUUAAAUAUAGCAACUCUGGUUCUAAAAUGAGUGUUCCUUGUCACUAUGUUAAGAAGCUGUCUUUUUUUGGACUUUAGAUGCCUGGUCUUGCAGAUGGACCUUCCUUUUUGUUAUUUUUGUUAAUGAUUAUGUUCUAGCUUUUUCCCAACUCUUUAUAUAAUUGAAACUGGGUUUUUAGGUAUUUUAUUUUGAAUGUGGGAAUCUGAUUGGUUAUGUGGUGCAGGAUUUAUUGCCAUGCACGCUACU
rnacentral:misc_RNA from 1 species